AGUGGCAUCCGAGCCAGGUUUUACGCGUUGAUGUUAUAUGCACGAGUAGAACACAAGUGAGUUGUGGGCGAUAUAAGUCAUACUACUUACCAGCAUGUCAUACUUUCUGUAAACUAUUAAAGCUUUGUGCUGAAAUGCAGGCCAAGAUUGAUGAGUUGAAGGCGAGAAAAAACUACUACACUACCCAACAACUUAUACAGAGAUAUGGUCUUGACCCUACUCAAGCUCGUCCACACCAAUGUUACGGUAGCUGCUUCUGCGAGUCUCUUGUCAUCUUCUUCGCCGCCGGCUCGGUCACCACAUCCGCUUCCCACAGCUGUGGACGACGAUAAGGAGGUGGUGGGUGACACGGGCAAAGAGUGCUUGGAGGUUAAUGUUGCUUGUCUGCGUGUCUGCCUAGAGAAUUUUCUGUUGUUUGAUUUGGUUUUAUAAGUCCAUAUUGCAUGUCUGCAUAGAGAAUCUCAUAAUAUGAUUGUUAUUAUUAUAUGUCUUACAGAAGUGCAUAGUUUCACUAUAUCAUAGUAUUAUAAAUGCAUGAGGGUUGAUCUGGGUAAGUGUCUGGCACUCUCUCCAGCAUGCCACAAUGUAGCAUUUCUUAAUGUUGUACAAUGAUGCUGAUAUCAUAUACAAUAGCACUGGAUGUGGUGGUAAU